AACACAGGAACCCCUGAACCGAUUUGCCUUAAAUUUUGAUUUGGGAAAUCGGGAGACCCACGGGAAUGUUCCUAGCUUGUUUGUUUAGAGAUUCUAAGUUUACUGGGUCAACUUCAAAAGCAAAAAUUUAGUUUCCCGGAAUAAAACCGGUCAAGAACGGAUGUUGUGUAAUUUAUUUAAUGGUUCUCAAUAAUUGGUUAAAAUUGUUAAAAUAUUUUAAUUAAUAUUUUGGAAUUUUUUCAUUUUUUAGUUGGAUUUAGUUUGUGAAAUCGGCAGAUCUGAGGUAGAAUUUUAUAUUAAAGGCUCUAUUUAAGGCUUUAUUUACAAGUGAAAUCUUUUUUUUUUUAGAUUAAACAGUGAAAUAGUUAUUAACCUAUUGAUUCCAAAAGCGUCGUUUUUUGAUCCGUUCUAAAACUUUUAAAUUUGGAAGAUUUUCUUGUUUCUUUUAACUUUUUUUCAAUAUUCUUAUUAAACUAAAUUCUUAUUUGAGCAGUACAUCUUAUUGGGUUAUAUUUUAUCUUUUUGUUCUUGCACUUUAUAUACUUUUAAUUUAGCAAGUGUGUUGUUGUUCAUUGUGGUUUGUCGGUUCAGCAGUAUUGCUUAUCCUCAAGCAAACUUAUUGCUCAAGACCCUGCUGGAUCUACCCUAACUCUGCUCAACCCCGAUCAGCGAAACAAUUUUAGAAACCGAUGUGCUGUUAUCAAUCUGUGAACUGAACGGAACCCUUUCUAGGAAGAUUGUAUUUAUCAAUAAAGAUUUACGUUACUUAA